AUGGGCCCGCGUAGGAUUAGCUAGUUGGUGAGGUAAUGGCUCACCAAGGCGACGAUCCUUAGCUGGUUUGAGAGAAUGACCAGCCACACUGGGACUGAGACACGGCCCAGACUCCUACGGGAGGCAGCAGUGGGGAAUAUUGGACAAUGGGCGCAAGCCUGAUCCAGCCAUGCCGCGUGAGUGACGAAGGCCUUAGGGUUGUAAAGCUCUUUUGGCGGGGACGAUAAUGACGGUACCCGCAGAAUAAGCCCCGGCUAACUUCGUGCCAGCAGCCGCGGUAAUACGAAGGGGGCUAGCGUUGUUCGGAAUUACUGGGCGUAAAGCGCACGUAGGCGGAUUUGUAAGUCAGGGGUGAAAUCCCGGGGCUCAACCUCGGAACUGCCUUUGAUACUGCAAGUCUCGAGUCCGAUAGAGGUGAGUGGAAUUCCUAGUGUAGAGGUGAAAUUCGUAGAUAUUAGGAAGAACACCAGUGGCGAAGGC
rnacentral:rRNA from 1 species